AGAACCCCCUGAAUGAUGUAGGCUAUGGGGCCACAUAAGACUUUGUCCAUCCAGGGUUACGUUGAAUGCCUAAUUUAAACUAAAGAACCCCCUGAAUGAUGUAGGCUAUGGGGCCACAUAAGACUUUGUCCAUCCAGGGUUACGAUGAAUGCCAAAUUUAAACUAAAGAGCUACCAGACUGGGAUUUUAGUGUACUCCAGGAUCUAACAAAUACAUACGUACUACUACGAAGUGUACAGUGCAUAAUAUAUAGUGUUUAGUGUAUAAUCUAACCUAAGGAUUAAGUGUAGUACAUUGUGCUUUUUAGUGUCACAAGAGUUUAAUAAAGAAUUAUACCUUCAAGAACCAUCCUUUGCCAUUGGAAUAACCACACUACACAUCAUGCAAUCUACUUGCAUGUC